GAUGAACGCUGGCGGCGUGCUUAACACAUGCAAGUCGAACGGAAAGGCUCCUGCUUGCAGGGGUACUCGAGUGGCGAACGGGUGAGUAACACGUGGGUGAUCUGCCCUGCACUUCGGGAUAAGCCUGGGAAACUGGGUCUAAUACCGGAUAGGACGAUGGUUUGGAUGCCAUUGUGGAAAGUUUUUUCGGUGUGGGAUGAGCUCGCGGCCUAUCAGCUUGUUGGUGGGGUAAUGGCCUACCAAGGCGUCGACGGGUAGCCGGCCUGAGAGGGUGUACGGCCACAUUGGGACUGAGAUACGGCCCAGACUCCUACGGGAGGCAGCAGUGGGGAAUAUUGCACAAUGGGCGCAAGCCUGAUGCAGCAACGCCGCGUGGGGGAUGACGGCCUUCGGGUUGUAAACUCCUUUCGCUAGGGACGAAGCGCAAGUGACGGUACCUGGAGAAGAAGCACCGGCUAACUACGUG
rnacentral:rRNA from 1 species